UAUGUCUCUAUCAUUAAAAUG
rnacentral:piRNA from 1 species